GAACUACACAUCUCUUUGACGUAUUGGUUUCUACCAUGUGGGAGCUUGCUCAGUCACGAUGCUUCGUUGGAUUAGAGAUGACAAGAUGUUAGGGCUAUGGUGGAUGAUAGAAAUUCUGGUCGGGUUACUAUCUUAUUCGAGGGGCUUCCACUUAGGGACCUUCAAGAAGAGGGCAAUGCAUCCGUUUCUGAACAUGGGCACCACCAAGGUCAUGCACAAUUUGCUCAGCUCCGGGUCACAACAGGCAUACCAGUCCAGAAAAGAAGUCGGGUAUUGUUGAAUAGGUCAUAUGGUGAUUGGGGGCGGUUGCCUUUCCAAACUUGUUAGCCUACCUAGUCGGGUACAUUAAUUUCUUUGGCUUCCGUUUUAUGUUUGUUUUUUAAGUAUGAUUAAUCUUCAACGUUAAACUCCAUGUACAUACGAAGUUACUAUGUUUAUUUUUUACAACAACUUUUUUUGCCUACUGCAAUCGUCUUAAUCUUGUAAGCUUGUGGUGUUUCAUCAAUGCACUGACAACAUCAAAUACAUUAGGA
rnacentral:lncRNA from 1 species